GCCUUCGUAGCGCAACUGGCAGCGCGUGAGACUUCUAAUCUCAAGGUUGCGGGUUCGAGUCCCGCCGGAGGUU